GAUGAUAACCCAAGUGAGAAUGCUGACAUGAGUAACGAAAAAGGGAAUAAUUACCCCCUCGCCUUAAGCUUAUGGUAUUUAUAUAAAGUAACGGCCUCUAAGUUUAUAGACCUGCCCUAAAGGACUAAACGAUGAGA
rnacentral:rRNA from 13 species